GACGAACGCUGGCGGUGUGCUUAACACAUGCAAGUCGAGCGAGCGGCGGACGGGUGAGUAAUGUAUGGGGACUGCCCGAUAGAGGGGGAUAACUACUGGAAACGGUGGAUAAUACCGCAUACUAUCGGAUAACCCAUAUGGGAUUAGCUAGUAGGUGGGGUAAAGGCUCACCUAGGCGACGAUCCCGAGCUGGUCUGAGAGGAUGAUCAGCCACACUUGGACUGAGACACGGCCCAGACUCCUACGGAGGCAGCAGUUGGGAAUAUUGCACAAUGGGCGCAAGCCUGAUGCAGCCAUGCCGCGUGUAUGAAGAAGGCCUUAGGGUUGUAAAGUACUUUCAGCGGUGAGGCGUUACCCGCAGAAGAAGCACCGGCUAACUCCGUGCCAGCAGCCGCGGUAAUAC
rnacentral:rRNA from 1 species